AACGAACGCUGGCGGCGUGGAUAAGACAUGCAAGUCGAACGAGGAAUGAAAAUAGCUUGCUAAUUUCAUUCCUAGUGGCGGACGGGUGAGUAACACGUGAGAACCUGCCCCUUAGUCAGGAAUAGCCCAUGGAAACGUGGAUUAAUGCCUGAUAGUCUCUACGGAGUAAAGGUGCCUUCGGGUAUCGCUGGGGGAUGGGCUCGCGGCCUAUCAGCUUGUUGGUGAGGUAAAGGCUCACCAAGGCGACGACGGGUAACUGGUCUGAGAGGACGAUCAGUCACACUGGAACUGAGACACGGUCCAGACACCUACGGGUGGCAGCAGUCGAGAAUCAUUCACAAUGGGGGCAACCCUGAUGGUGCAACGCCGCGUGGAGGAUGACGGUCCUAGGAUUGUAAACUCCUGUCAUUGGGGAGUAAGACUUGUGCGUUAAGAGCGUGCAAGUUUGAUAGUACCCAAAGAGGAAGGGACGGCUAACUUCG
rnacentral:rRNA from 1 species